UUCAAAAUGAAGAUUUCUUUCUCAUCAUGUUCUUGUCUUUGUCCUUUAUUCCCUCUGAGAGGUCUUCGAGUUGAGCCCAUUUUUCUCUUUUGAAUAACUGGACUUGAUUUUGAGUGUGCCUCUUCUGCGUGAGAAUCUUCAGGAAUGAGGUUGAUGUCACUUUGUUUAAGAACUGUGUCUGUUUCUCCUGAAACAUCUUUCUCAACAUUUUCAGAUAUUUUCAAUGCUUCGAUGUGUACAUCAGGAGAAGUAUGAAGAAAAUCUGACUCCGUAGUCAAAUUACUCUCCACUGUACCUGUAUCUCCAGUAAUUUCAACUUCUCUGACUAAUGUCACACUAACAUCAUUGAUUUUCUCCUCUGUUCCUUCAGCUUCAUAAGAUGUUGUGUCAGAUAUUUUGUUCUGUGAUUCAGUUUCUAAUUGUAGGUCCUUGUUUUCCUCUGCUGCCACUUUUUCAGCAUCUCCAGCAUUUUCCUGGGACUCUUCAUUCAGUUUCAUGAGGGUUUGUGAUUCUGUGACAUGACAGAUACUUACUGCAGUGGAUUCCUCAGACAGGAAAUCUGAACGACAUGAUGACUGCAGGAGAGCAGACUCAGAUCUUUCAACAGGACCAACAUCAUUGUCCUCACAUAAUUCCAUGUCCUGUACUUUAACUCCAUCUUUUGUGGUUCUUAACAGAGAUGCAUUUGUAAUGGAUUCAUCCUCCAAACUAAUUGUUUCUUUCUCUACAUUGAUCAUAUCUUCACUGUCAGGUGUCUCAUUUUCAUCAUGAUGUUCUUUUUCUUUUCUUUGUCUAUUUUUCCCUCUGAGAGGUCUACGAGUUGAGCCCAUUUUCCUCUUGUGAAUAACUGUGAAUUCUGAGUGUGCCUCCUCUUUCUGAGUAUCGUGAGGAAUGAUGGUGGUGUCACUUUGCUUGGGAACUGUGUCAGUUUUUUCCUGAACUUUACACUCAGCAUCGUUAGACACUUUUAAUGCUUCCAGUUUUGCAUCAGAGGAAGUGUCAUUUUGAA